GUUGAGGGGAACGUUGUCUGGCUCGAGGUCAUUUAGAGGUUUAAUUAAUUUUCAUUUCGGGCUUAAAUGACAUCGGACCAGGCUUCAUUCCUCUCAAC
rnacentral:pre_miRNA from 1 species